rnacentral:rRNA from 1 species
UACGGAGGAUGCGAGCGUUAUCCGGAUUUAUUGGGUUUAAAGGGUGCGUAGGCGGACUGUCAAGUCAGCGGUAAAAUUGAGAGGCUCAACCUCUUCCCGCCGUUGAAACUGGUGGUCUUGAGUGGAUGAGAAGUACGCGGAAUGCGUGGUGUAGCGGUGAAGUGCAUAGAUAUCACGCAGAACUCCGAUUGCGAAGGCAGCGUACCGGCAUCCAACUGACGCUGAAGCACGAAGGCGUGGGUAUCGAACAGG